AAUUUGCCUACGCCUCUUACUGCUGAUGAGGCAGGCAAGACGGGCUUUUCUGAGGAAGAAGCCAUGAAUUAUGUAAAGGAUUUGACUGAUUUCGGCCCACGUCCUGUCGGUUCUGAUGCUGUUGAUCUUACUCUGCAGGUUAUGCAGCAACUGUUCACCAGGUGUGGUCACAAAAAGAACUAGAAAUGUGAAAUAUGUGCAAGAAAUAAAGUAGAGGCUUAGUGAUGGUGAGAUUUGAACCUUACAUCUUUUUAUUCCUAAUAACAAGGUGCAACUGAUCUUCAAUGCAUCUUCUUGUUGAAGUUCUAGAACUACUUACAUUUAAGUGAUUCACAUGUUAGAUUGGGUAAAGAUGGGCUAGGUGACGGUUGAACUAGCCACCAUAUGAAUUGACGGCUGGUUUGGUUCUGAUAACGAUGGAUGUCUUGGCUGUAUAAGAAAAUAUGAGGAAAACAGCUCAUUGGGUGGUUGAUGUUCCAGUGGAUUUUUUUCAUGCACACUCUGGUGCCAAUCGGCUGGUCGGUGGCCUUUUUAAGGGAAGAACACUUAUUCAGAUCUAAAUCACAUUGUAGUGACCGUAUCGCCAAAACAUGCAUCUGAUGAAGACGAAAGUGCUAUUCUGAUCUCCUCCCAUAUUGAUACCGAGUUUUCAACGUAUGUUUCCUCUGUCUCUAUAGUCCUAUCCAGUCACAAUAAUCUUCUUUUUUUUUUUUUUUUUUUUUGGUUGUGUUCGUGUGUGUGUUUAGAUUAGAUUAUGUGUGUUAAUUUAAGUUAAAUAAAUCUAUGUGGGCACCGGAAAGUAAUAACUAUCUACAUUAAUUUUUUCUUUGAUUCUUUUUUAUUUUGGGGGUGGUUGUAAUGAAAUCUUUAACAAU